AGGAGCCGCUGUUGCUGUACUGGCUCUGCUGGCUGUAGCUCUGCGGCGCGCUGUAUGAGGACUGCUGGCUGUAGGAGGGCUGCUGGCUGCUGUAUGAGGACUGCUGGCUGUAGCCGGAGCUGGGCGGCUGCCCGUAGCUGGAGCUCUGGGAGCUGCCCCCAUAGCUGUGGGAAACGACACGUCCUGAGCUCAAAGGACCCCAAAGCACUCAGCAAAACCACCGGGGCCUCGUUAAAAACACGUGUUAAUGAGCUGACGGAUCAGGUUGGAAGGGGAGAGCGAACCCCGCAGCAGCUCUGUGGGUUUUAUACUGUAAGUGAAGCAAAGCGUGCGGUUAUAGGGGAGGACGUUCAGCUGAGCAUAACCUUGGGGCUGGGAACGUCCAGUGGGGCUGGGAACGUCCAGUGGGGCUGGGAACGUCCAGUGGGGCUGGGAACGUCCAGUGGGGCUGGGAACACCCAACAGAGCCAAAUUUGGGGUUGGAAGCGUCCAAUGGGGUUGGAAACGUCCAACAGAGCACAAUUUGGGGUUAAAACAUCCAACAGAGCCAAAUUUGGGGUUACAACACCCAACAGAGCCCAAUUUGGGGUUGGAAUCAUCCAAUGGGGUUGGAAACACCCAACAGAGCACAAUUUGGGGUUACAACACCCAACAGAGCCGAAUUUGGGGUUGGAAACAUCCAAUGGGGCUGGAAACAUCCAAUGGGGUUGGAAAAACCCAACAGAGGCAAAUUUGGGUUUAAAACACCCAACAGAUCCAAAUUUGGGGUUAAAACAUCCAAUAGAGCCAAG
rnacentral:lncRNA from 1 species